UACAGAGGGUGCAAGCGUUGUUCGGAAUCACUGGGCGUAAAGCGUAUGUAGGCGGCUUUUCAAGUCAGGUGUGAAAUCCCAUGGCUUAACCAUGGAACUGCAUUUGAAACUGUAAAGCUUGAGUAUUGGGGAGGAUGGUAGAAUUCCUGGUGUAGUGGUGAAAUACGUAGAUAUCAGGAGGAAUACCGGUGGCGAAGGCGGCCAUCUGGCCAAAUACUGACGCUGAGAUACAAAAGUGUGGGGAUCAAACAGG
rnacentral:rRNA from 1 species